GCACACAGGUGCUGCAUGGCCGUCGUCAGCUCGUGUCGUGAGAUGUUGGGUUAAGUCCCGCAACGAGCGCAACCCUCGCCAUUAGUUGCCAUCAUUAAGUUGGGCACUCUAGUGGGACUGCCGGUGAUAAGCCGGAGGAAGGUGGGGAUGACGUCAAGUCAUCAUGGCCCUUAUGGGCUGGGCUACACACGUGCUACAAUGGCGGUGACAAUGGGCAGCCACUCAGCGAUGAGGAGCUAAUCCCUAAAAGCCGUCUCAGCUCGGAUUGGGGUCUGCAGCUCGACCCCAUGAAGUCGGAAUCGCUAGUAAUCGCAGAUCAGCACGCUGCGGUGAAUACGUUCCCGGGCCUUGUACACACCG
rnacentral:rRNA from 1 species